rnacentral:rRNA from 1 species
AAACCAGCACCUCAAGUGGUCAGGAUGAUUAUUGGGCCUAAAGCAUCCGUAGCCGGCUCUGUAAGUUUUCGGUUAAAUCUGUAUGCUCAACAUACAGGCUGCCGGGAAUACUGCAGAGCUAGGGAGUGGGAGAGGUAGACGGUACUCGGGAGGAAGUGGUAAAAUGCUUUGAUCUCUCGAUGACCACCUGUGGCGAAGGCGGUCUACCAGAACACGUCCGACGGUGAGGGAUGAAAGCUGGGGGAGCAAACCGGAUUAGAAACCCGAGUAGUCC